AUUGAACGCUGGCGGCAUGCUCUACACAUGCAAGUCGAACGGUAACAGGCCGCAAGGUGCUGACGAGUGGUGAACGGGUGAGUAAUGCAUCGGAACGUGCCCAGUCGUGGGGGAUAACUACUCGAAAGAGUAGCUAAUACCGCAUACGAUCUAUGGAUGAAAGCGGGGGACCGUAAGGCCUCGCGCGAUUGGAGCGGCCGAUGUCAGAUUAGGUAGUUGGUGGGGUAAAGGCUCACCAAGCCAACGAUCUGUAGCUGGUCUGAGAGGACGACCAGCCACACUGGGACUGAGACACGGCCCAGACUCCUACGGGAGGCAGCAGUGGGGAAUUUUGGACAAUGGGCGCAAGCCUGAUCCAGCAAUGCCGCGUGCAGGAAGAAGGCCUUCGGGUUGUAAACUGCUUUUGUACGGAACGAAACGGCUCUGGUUAAUACCCGGGGCUAAUGACGGUACCGUAAGAAUAAGCACCGGCUAACUACGUG
rnacentral:rRNA from 1 species